rnacentral:lncRNA from 1 species
CCUGAUAUCAAUUCCAGUUAAGCCCAAGGAAUAGCUUUAGGAUUGCUAAGUGUCUGGAGGGUGUUGGCUACUAAGACAUGUUUUUUAAGCAGGCCAUAAUAGUUUCUACAGCUGUUAACAGUGCCUAGAAGAAUGACAGCAUUAUUUGUCUGUGUUUAAAAUGUGCAUGACUUACAUUGCACAGAAGUCAGAUUGAGAGAAUGUCAGAAUUUUUUUUUGCCUUCUGAAACAUGGCCAGGAAAGUCUUCAAUAACUAGAGAAAUUCUUUUCAAUCAACAUGUGGUGCAUUGUGUUGUUGUAAUUGCUCAGACCUCACCAUGAAAGUUGUCUUUGUAUGUGUGGAUGUACAAUCUGUACUGUUUUGUUUUUUAUUUUUUUUAUUUUGUAUGUUUAUAAAUCUCAUGACACAGAAACUAAAACUGAGCACACUCAAAACUAAUUAGCAAACUACAGGAGGUGAGAAAAGAAUUGAAAUCUGCUUUGCAUUUGCAGUUUAAAAGGUGCCUUCUGAUUGAAGGGCUGCCCUGCUCCCCCGCCCCCCAUAUGGGGAGAGAUCACUAACCUUGAAGUUCCCCAGUCCCAGUUAGCAGUAGCCCACAAAGAGCAAGCUUGGCAGACACACAAGUGACCUGAUCAGAGUUUUCUCCACCAAAGUGAGAAGUAUUUUCAAUCUGCAUCAUUGUCUUUUUUUGGGGUUGUGAUAUAAUUGGCCACCCUAACACUGGACCGGGCAUUUGUUCUGAUACAGCUGGCCUCUUGUUAUGAGUGCAGGAACUGGAGCUGCACAUAUUUCUGAUCAACAUCUUCCUACAGAAACAAGAGCAAAACCUUGUGGAAACACCACAUAUGCAUCACCAUCUUAACCUAUAUCUUCUGUUCCUUGCAUAGUGGAAUUAGGGCACACGGGGUGCUCCAUGUUUUUGGUCUAAGAUUUCCAUCAGCUUCAGCCAGUGCAUUUGGUGGUGAGGGAGAAUGAGUGUUGCAGCCCUACAACAUCUGGGGGGGGGAAUAAAUGUCCGCCAGUCUUGUAUGAAAGGCA